UCAUACUUUUAUUUAUGAAAA
rnacentral:piRNA from 1 species